GCCUACCAAUGUUUGAGGAGAAGCAUGCGUGCCGCAGAGUGGCGCGACGAGCGUCCGCUUCUUUACCAAAUAAAAGAAUCUCACCACUCGUGAGUCGUGACUAUUGUGGAGAAGGCGAGUUGGCCUGAGAAAAACCAAGCAGCCAAUCCAGUAAUCCACUUUCCACUCCGAAAAAGAAAUGAGAAAAAAAAGGUUCCGCUUGUGGGCGCGGCGGCGACUCGCCGGCGAUCGCCCGUCGUCUCCCCCUCCUCCGGGCUCCGUCAUUCGUUUCUGCCGCUGCAUGCUUCGUCCGUGUCCGCUCUUCCGCAGUUACACAGUUACGCGAACUGCAUCCUGUGAAUAGACUGGGUUUCUCUCCACCCCGCCCCCAUCUGCAACAUUUGGGCUGCAAAAUGUUCAAAGAAAAUCAAAGUCUUCACUUGGCUCCUUUUCAAAGAUAGGCUCAACAUGAGGAACAUCCUCAAACGGAAAAAUCAUCGGAUUGAAGGCAACAAUUAUAAUAGUGUUCUUUGCAAUCUUUUUCAUGUUGAGGAGAUGGCUUUCCACCUAUUCUUUGAUUUCACCUUUAGCUCUGCCUGUUGGUCGGAGAUUGGGAUCUUCUGGAAUCAGACAACAGACUUCUUCAUGAUAGAGCAGGUAACACAAGGUUUCCAGCAGCCUUUCUUCAGGGAAGUCUUUGCAAUUGUAGCAUGGGAAAUCUGGAAGCUGAGAAAUGCCAAAAUAUUUUAAAAAGAAAGGCCUUCACUUCAAAAAUGGAAGAAUAACUUCUGUGACUAUGUGCACCUUCAGAUGCAUAGAAUGAAAGGCAACGUGUAUUCCCUUCUUUCCCUAUGGAUUAGCUCCUUUGUGAGAAAGGAUGCCCUUAUCUGCUCUUGCCAUACUGCCAGAUCUUGUGGUCCUUGAUUCGUCCCUUAAUAGAACAUAUUGAAAGUU